UACAGAGGGUGCGAGCGUUGUCCGGAAUCACUGGGCGUAAAGGGCGCGUAGGUGGUGGCUUAAGCGUGCGGUGAAAGCUGGGGGCUCAACUCCGAGUCGGCCGUGCGAACUGGGCUCACUGGAGCAUAGUAGAGGCAGGUGGAAUUCCGGGUGUAGCGGUGGAAUGCGUAGAGAUCCGGAAGAACACCGGUGGCGAAGGCGGCCUGCUGGGCUAUGGCUGACACUGAGGCGCGACAGCGUGGGGAGCAAACAGG
rnacentral:rRNA from 1 species